rnacentral:rRNA from 1 species
CUCUGAUAGAAAUAAUUAUCAGUAAAAUCUGCUCAAUGAAUUAUAAAUAGCCGCAAUUAUGUUGUGCUAAGGUAGCAUAAUCAUUUGUCUUUUAAUUAAAGACUAGAACGAAAGAUUUAACAUUUAAAUAACUUUAUUUAAUAAAUUCUUUUAAAAUUAUUUUAAAUAUAAAAAAAUAUUUAUAAUUAAAAAAGACGAUAAGACCCUAUUGAACUUAACUUUAGUUAAACUGGGGAAGUUAAUUAAUUAAUAUUUUAAUUUUUAUUAAUAAAAAAAAGACCCAAUACUAUUGAUUAUCUGAUCAAGUUACCAUAGGGAUAACAGCGUAAUAAAUUUUAAAAGCCCUUAUUUAAAAAUUUGAUUGCGACCUCGAUGUUGAAUAAUUAUCUAUUAAAUGCAACCAUUUAAUAAGAAAGUCUGUUCGACUUUAAAACAAUUACA